rnacentral:lncRNA from 1 species
UGCAGUAGAAUCCUAUCCAUGGCUCCACUUGCUGUGGAGCAGAGUUCAGUGUGCACAUCGCCAAGCCCAGAAGUCCUCCCUCACCGUGUCUCACCUAGGAUGGACCCUUGGCAGAUUUCUAAGAGACACGGUGCCCAAUGACAACAACAGCAAGACACCCAAUGGAGCAGGUAACUCAGGACACUGUGAAGAAGUCCAGGAACAAGGAUGGGGUGUAGGUGAAAGCCCAGUUAAGUCAUGUGCUGAUUUGGAUUACCCUGGGAUUAAAAUGAGGGGGGAAGCCACCUUACACUGUUCACGUGAUGUUGUUCCAAACUUCAAUAAAAAUCAGGUUGCAUUGCCUUUCCCAAAUAUCACACUCAGCUCUCAGUAGUCCCCACCUCCCAAAGAGAUGUUUGCAAAGCCGCUAGAUGUCUUGGCCUUCUCAUCGACACAUAGGCAGAAGCCAUCCCUGGCCCCUGGUGACCCGAUGGCCUGAAGGAGAAAUGAGGUGGCUGGAGGAGGUCCCAGCAGAGUAGAGGAUCCCGGACUAGUGCAG